rnacentral:rRNA from 1 species
GAUGAACGCUGGCGGCGUGCCUAAUACAUGCCAGUCGAGCGAACGGACGAGAAGCUUGCUUCUCUGAUGUUAGCGGCGGACGGGUGAGUAACACGUGGAUAACCUACCUAUAAGACUGGGAUAACUUCGGGAAACCGUAGCUAAUACCGGAUAAUAUUUUGAACCGCAUGGUUCAAAAGUGAAAGACGGUCUUGCUGUCACUUAUAGAUGGGUCCGCGCUGCAUUAGCUAGUUGGUAAGGUAACGGCUUACCAAGGCAACGAUGCAUAGCCGACCUGAGAGGGUGAUCGGCCACACUGGAACUGAGACACGGUCCAGACUCCUACGGGAGGCAGCAGUAGGGAAUCUUCCGCAAUGGGCGAAAGCCUGACGGAGCAACGCCGCGUGAGUGAUGAAGGUCUUCGGAUCGUAAAACUCUGUUAUUAGGGAAGAACAUAUGUGUAAGUAACUGUGCACAUCUUGACGGUACCUAAUCAGAAAGCCACGGCUAACUACGUG